GGGAAAACGCGUUUUCGGGUUUAGCGGGAAAAUGUGUUUCUCUGGUUUUGGCCGGAAAACAUAUUUUUGUGGUUUAGACGGGAAAAUACGUUUUUGCAGUUUGGCGGGUUGCAGUUUUGGCGGGAAAACGUGCUUUUGCGGUUUUGGCUGGAAAACGUUUUUUGUGGUUUUAGCGGAAAAAGCACAUUUUUGUGGUUGUGACAGGAAAAUGCGUUUUGCGGUUUUGGCGGGAAAACACGUUUUUGCGGUUUUGACAUAAAAACUCAUUUUUGCGAUUUUGGCGGGAAACCACGUUUUUGUGGUUUUGGUGGAAAAGUAUGUUCUUGCGAUUUUGGCAGAAAAUGUGUUUUUUUUUCUUUUGACAGGAAAAUGUAUUUUAAGUUUUGAGCAAAAAUUACAUUUUUUUAGUUUUGUUAUUUUUCGUGUGUGACAAAAUAAUAUUAUAUUUAGAUUUGUAAUUUAUAAAUUACAUCAGGGGAAUAAUAGAUAUUAUAUCAUUUUGACAGAACCAUCUCUAUGUAGAUGGUUCAAUUUGGAUCAGCCAGCUGAUUUUCAAAAUUAAGCCUAAAAUUCCAAAAGUCAUCCGAUGAUCUAUCUGAAUGAGUUCUAUUUUUAUUGCCUAAACGAAAAAAUUCUUAUCUCCAUUUAGAUGGUUCAUCCAAAUCGAGAAACGAACAAGCCCCAUGUGCAGUUUUAUGUGUUUCUAGUUAUUUUUAUUUUUAUCUUUUUGCAAUCGGUGACUAUUCCAAUGAUCUCACACUGUAAGUCUAUGUAAGCAUGAAUGCAACGCAUAUAUGUUUACACCCGGUGAGGAAUGUAGGUUGUUGGAUAUGGGGACACGUUCACCCAAAAUCAUUUUGAUAUUCCAAAAUUUAGCAUAAAAACUAAUUAUUUAAUAUAUUAAAAUAUGAUUACAUUUUGUACGUAGCCAUGAGUUUUACUCGAUAAUUACCAUCUCAUGUCAUUAUCUUAAUAAUAACUAUAUAUUUUAAAUUAUCAUUAAUUAUCAUAUUUGCCUUAUUUUCAAUAUGCAUAUUCAGAUAUAAUAAAUAACUCCCGCAAACCAUAAUUUUCAAUAUUCAUAUUCAUAUUCAGAUAUAAUACAUGUUUCUUACUAAACCAAACGUUUGGUUUCAAACAUCUUAAUUGACUAAACCAAAAAAGAAUAUAUCUACCAAGCUCAUAUAAAAAAAACUUUCAAAAAUAAACUAUAGAGUAUUUUAAAUUUAUGGUAUUUUUAAGUGUAAUAUACUAUUUCAAACCAUACUUUUAAAUAUGCUGAAGAUCAAACCAGAAAAUCAACCAUGGUACAACAACAUAUAAAUGACACAGUUGUUUCUUCCUCUCGGGUCAAUCCUUUUUUUCAUUCUUCACUCUAUAUGCUGAAGAUCAAACAAUACCAAAACAAACGAUAUAAAUUGAUAUGCUUUCCUAACAUAUAGUUUUCAGAUGUACUAAUGUGUAGAUUAUAAUUAAUUUACAUAAAUUUAGGAUAUGUGUCUUUUAUUAUUAUCCGUAAUCUUGCCUCAAAUAUAUGUUAUGUUCAAGCAAAUUCUUUUUUAAAUCCCUAAAUCUUCUCAACCAAGUAUUCAUAAAGAUCAUUGCAAAUAUUCUCCACGCCCAUUUUGUAAAUACUAUUGCUUUCAUCCAAAUUAAUUAUUAACUCUGCAAUAUCAAAAAGUGUGUAUUUCGCAAAAGAGCACUAUAGUUCCACUAGAAACUAACUAAUCCUAAUUUUCAUCAUUAGUUAACUUAACAAAAUCUUCCUUAAAAAAUAUACAAUCAAUUUCUUUUAUACAUGAAAAAUAUUAAUUAUUGUUUCAAAUGAUAAUAUAUCUUAACAAAAUCUUUCUUAAAGCUAACAAUUAAUUAAUUUUACCUGUAAUUAAUUGUAUAAAUAUAAAUUAAUACAAAUGAUAUGAUAUAAACUCAAUAUAAAAUAAUUUUUACCGUUCCAUAAAUAUUAAAACAUAUCAAUUUUUUUCCUUUCCAAAACUAAGUAGUCUAUUUAUAUUAUAUAUAAUAACUAUUUACUUAUAGUAUUAUUACUAAUAAUUAUAUAUGCGCUAAAAAUACAUUCAAUACAAAACAACAUACAAGUUAAAAUGAAUACCCGCAUAGGUGUGCAGAUAAAAAAAAAAUCUAGUACUUUUUCUAAUUUGGUGACUAAAACUGUCUUGUGCACCCACCGUAUCAUUUCACAAUCAACUCCAGAUUUUCUUCAUUUUAAGCUCAUACCAUUAAUGCACCCCGUUUAAAUAUUAUUUUGAUUCGCCUCUGCUCACAUCUUUGAUUUAACAUAUGAUUACUAUCUGACAAGCAGUUGACAAAAAAAGGCACUAUAUAUCUGACAAGCUUAUUAAUCGGCUUAGCCACCACGUUGGCAUAAGCAUCCACGCAAAUAAAGGCUUUAAGAAAAAAAGAAGAAGAAGAAAAAGAUGAUGAAAAAGGCCUGUAUAACAAUCUAAUGAUUAACUUUAAACUUUGAUUUUUAAAGUUUCAUUAAAAACAUAAUACCUAAAAAAGUUUACCUCACGUUUGAGUUUUAAAUGUUAAAGAACGUGAAAUAUUUUUAGUUGUGGUUCUGCUUAAUUGUUGUAGAUUGAUCCCUCCAUCCAUUUUAUAUAUAUACUUACGCCGGCUAAUCCUUCCAUCAUAACCAUUAAUAGAUUAUAUAUCAAAGACAGCGUGUAAAGAAAGAUCCAUACUUAAGCGGAUAUUUUCUUUAUAAUUUACUAGUUAUCGAGCUUUAUAGAAUUUAUAGCUGCCAACUGUAAUAGAUUCUGAAUUGAAACAAUCACAUAAAGCAAUAAUUUAUUUUGGCGAUUAAUGAUAUUGAUCAAUACUCUAUUAUAUAUUUUUGGGACCAAUUAUGAAUCCAAUAACAUUUACAUACAUGGAAUAAAAUUUUUUCAAAAAGUCUAUGCUGCAAUAUUGCACAACGGCAGCCCUGGUUCUUGCUAACACUGAUACAUUUUACUACAAAUUACUAUUCGUAUCAGUGGCGAAUGUAGAAUUUUUUUAUGGGGGCAAAUCUUACAUAAACUCAAAAAUGUAGUUAAAAAUGUUAUUUAUUGAGAGGAAAAUAAUUAAAAUGUAAGUAUAUUUAAUUAACAAACUUUGAAAAUUUUGUGGGGGCACUUGCCACCUUCUUGAGCAACGUAGAUUCACCACUGAUUCGUAUCAAACCUAAAACGCAUGUAGAUUCACCACAUCAGUUGAUGCUGAGAGAUUUAUUCGUCUACUUAUGAUUGGCCCAUUAUUAUGGCAGCGAGACCACUCUUAAAAUUACGCUUACGGAAGAUUAGCGGAACAGACUUUAAUAUUAGUGUAUGAAACGAACCAUGGAUCCCAGACACAGAGGUACGACCACCUAGAGCUUAUGACUGAGUGACUUACAUACAUCCAUACUCCUGAGUCAUUCCUUUAUUAGACGUGAUAUCAAGGAUUGAGAUACUUCUUUCUUACAAGAUUUUUCUAUCUUGAGGACAUUCAUUUUCUCCUUGAUUUGAGACAUAGUCAUACAUGGUCCAUGGGCGACUACCCAUGAAAUCAUACAAAGUCUAAAGUUUACUCGAUUAAAUUCAUAUAUGAUUUGCUUGGCUCAGAGGAAACUAUACCCAUCUACAUCGGACUAUUUGUUUUUUUCCGGGUUUCUUUUUGAAUACCUUUGUUUGCCAAAACAUAGAUUUUCUGUUUUGGAAGAAAAAAGAUGUGACCUAUACAUAAUCACUAAUUGGCACUAGAUCUUGUGGUACAUUUCAAAGGUAAAAAAUGAUAAAAAGAAAAAUUAAAGGAAAGGAUGUCUCACCAGUAGACACCCUCAAACUAGCCUCUCAUGAAAUGGAAGACUGGAGAAAAUCUAACCUCAGGGAAAAAAACGAGGAAGAUGACGCAUCACCAGCUCAUGCCAUUGUUUCCCGUGGAACCCCAAAUCUGACCUGUUAAAAUUGACGCUUCAUGGUCAAUCAUGGUUUGAUCAGUGGACUAAGGUGAACCAAUAUUGAUCAGAUGGGAAUUGAACGUUUUGGAAUUUGGACUACAAGGUUGCCGUAAAAGUUUCUAGGUUCUUCAUGCUGAGAUGGAGGAACUAUUAUGAGCGAUAUUCUACUUACGAUAUUUACAUAUCACUACGGUCCAAAUAUAAGAAUUGCUCAGAUUUAGUGGAUAUGAUUAUUAAUACAAUCUGUUGGACGGUUUAGCGGUGAAAUGUGGCGAUAGCAAACUUUGGAAAAGCCUGGUUUCUAAAAGAAAAGAGAAACAUCAAUAAUUUAAAGAAGAUAUGUAUAUAUAAAUUAUUAUCCGGAAAUUUAAAUCGAGAAAACGAAAAAACUGAUAUUUGUUGAACAUAAUAAAUAUUCACACAUGGAUGACAAUGAAAUUGAUAGAUGUACAGUCAAGUCAGUACAGCAUAUAGAAUUUGCCGUUCUAUAAAAUAUAUAUAAUUUGUUCUCCAACAUGGAUAGUCUGGUAACACGCGAGAAUUCAUAUCUAAAUAGUGGAUAUCCGUAAUUCACGUUCCACAAUCAUUCUCCUCAACUCUCAACGCCCACCACCCCACGUCCACCAUCUAUAUCUGAUUUUGAUUCAGUUGAUUGAUAUUGUCAAUACCGAAAUAUUUAUGAAUUUUUUCGUGCCUUAAUAUAUACACGUUGCAUAGAAAUAUCAAUAUUCAAUAUUUUUUUGGUAUGAAAAUGAAUACUAAUCAAUAUUCAAUAUAUUGAAGGGGGGCUUUAGUUUUACAUUCAUAAAUAGAGUUACCGGUUUGAUAGCUAAAACGCGUAAAAUUUGAUGUGAUAAACGAGUAAAGGGUACCAUCAUUUGGCGAGGAUCAGAGUA